GACGAACGCUGGCGGCGUGCUUAACACAUGCAAGUCGAACGGUAAGGCCCUUCGGGGUACACGAGUGGCGAACGGGUGAGUAACACGUGGGUGAUCUGCCCUGCACUUCGGGAUAAGCCUGGGAAACUGGGUCUAAUACCGGAUAGGACUCCUGGCUUCAUGGUUGGGGGUGUAAAGCUUUUGCGGUGUGGGAUGGGCCCGCGGCCUAUCAGCUUGUUGGUGGGGUAAUGGCCUACCAAGGCGACGACGGGGUAGCCGGCCUGAGAGGGUGACCGGCCACACUGGGACUGAGAUACGGCCCAGACUCCUACGGGAGGCAGCAGUGGGGAAUAUUGCACAAUGGGCGCAAGCCUGAUGCAGCGACGCCGCGUGAGGGAUGACGGCCUUCGGG
rnacentral:rRNA from 1 species